rnacentral:misc_RNA from 1 species
UUUUUACACAAUUCUGAUUUUUUACUCCCCACUUAUUAUAUUUUCAAUGAUUUAAGUUAUAUUGAAGUCCCUAUGACCCUAUGUUUUAAUUGUGAAAAUUCAUUUUAUCCUCUGGAGGCAAAUUUAUUAAAUACGUAUGGUUAUAACGCGUAUUAAAAAGAAAUAUGUCCUUAAAAUGAUUUAGAGUUUCAAUGAUUAGCUAACAAAUCUAUUUAUCGGCGGGUGGUUUUAAUUUGCUGAUGACUAUUUUUUAUUUAUGAGCUGAGAGCUUAUG